CCGGAUUUAUUGGGCGUAAAGCGAGCGCAGGCGGUUAGAUAAGUCUGAAGUUAAAGGCAGUGGCUCAACCAUUGUAGGCUUUGGAAACUGUUUAACUUGAGUGCAGAAGGGGAGAGUGGAAUUCCAUGUGUAGCGGUGAAAUGCGUAGAUAUAUGGAGGAACACCGGUGGCGAAAGCGGCUCUCUGGUCUGUAACUGACGCUGAGGCUCGAAAGCGUGGGGAGCGAACAGGAUUAGAUACCCUGGUAGUCCACGCCGUAAACGAUGAGUGCUAGGUGUUAGGUCCUUUCCGGGACUUAGUGCCGCAGCUAACGCAUUAAGCACUCCGCCUGGGGAGUACGACUGCAAGGUUGAAACUCAAAGGAAUUGACGGGGGCCCGCACAAGCGGUGGAGCAUGUGGUUUAAUUCGAAGCAACGCGAAGAACCUUACCAGGUCUUGACAUCCCGAUGCCCGCUCUAGAGAUAGAGCUUUACUUCGGUACAUCGGUGACAGGUGGUGCAUGGUUGUCGUCAGCUCGUGUCGUGA
rnacentral:rRNA from 1 species